GCUGGGGAUGUAGCUCAGUGGUAGAGCUUUUGCCUAGGAUGUGCAAGGCCCUGGGUUCAAUCCCCAGCCCCAGUG